GCCGGGGUACCCAAGCCUGGUAUGGGGCAGGCCUGCUAAGUCUGUGGGCGAAAGCCCUCGUGGGUUCAAAUCCCAUCCCCGGCG
rnacentral:tRNA from 1 species